rnacentral:tRNA from 1 species
GGACUUUUAGCUCAGUUGGUCAGAGCAGUCGCCUCAUAAGCGAUAGGUCACAGGUUCGAAUCCUGUAAAGUCCA